AAAGAAAGUAAGCAAGGGCGCAUGGCGGAUGCCUUGGCUCUCGGAGGCGAUGAAGGACGUGAUAAGCUGCGAUAAGCUUCGGGCAGGUGCAAAUAACCUUUGAUCCGAAGAUUUCCGAAUGGGACAACCCGUCAUUCUGAAGGAAUGACAUCUUGCAUAGCAAGAGGCUAACGCAGGGAACUGAAACAUCUUAGUACCUGCAGGAAAAGAAAAUAAUAAUGAUUCCCCAAGUAGUGGCGAGCGAACGGGGAUUAGCCCAAACCAAUGUUGUUACGGCAAUAUUGGGGUUGUAGGACCACGAUGUCGCAAGAAGUUUAGUGAGAAGAAUUCUUUGGAAAAUGAANNNNNNNNNNGACCACGAUAUCGCAAGAAGUUUAGUGAGAAGAACCCUUUGGAAAAUGGGACCAUAGACGGUGAUAGUCCGGUAUUCGAAGCUAAAUGAAGCGUAGUGGUAUCCUGAGUAGCGCGGGACACGAGGAAUCUUGCGUGAAUCUGCCGGGACCAUCCGGUAAGGCUAAAUACUCCCGAGAGACCGAUAGCGAACCAGUACUGUGAAGGAAAGGUGAAAAGCACUUCGAAUAGAAGAGUGAAAUAGUCCCUGAAACCGUGCGCCUACAAGCGGUCGGAGCAGCGUAAGUUGUGACGGCGUGCCUUUUGCAUAAUGAACCUACGAGUUACUUUUUCCGGCAAGGUUA
rnacentral:rRNA from 1 species